rnacentral:rRNA from 1 species
GACGAACGCUGGCGGCGUGCUUAACACAUGCAAGUCGAGCGGUAAGGCCCUUUCGGGGGUACACGAGCGGCGAACGGGUGAGUAACACGUGGGUGACCUGCCCUCAGCUCUGGGAUAAGCCUGGGAAACUGGGUCUAAUACCGGAUAUGACUCCAUGACGCAUGUUGUGGGGUGGAAAGCCUUGUGCGGCUGAGGAUGGGCCCGCGGCCUAUCAGCUUGUUGGUGGGGUGAGGCCUACCAAGGCGACGACGGGUAGCCGGCCUGAGAGGGCGACCGGCCACACUGGGACUGAGACACGGCCCAGACUCCUACGGGAGGCAGCAGUGGGGAAUCUUGCGCAAUGGGCGAAAGCCUGACGCAGCGACGCCGCGUGAGGGAUGACGGCCU